UUGCAGAAAAAAAACAAAAGAGUGCUAACUACAAGGAAGUUUUCAUCCACCAAAGUAAUCAACACUUACAUAAGUCUUCUCAUUUCAUACCGACAAGCACAGGACAAACGUGUGAAACCAGAGAUUUCAGCAGGAACAAUGGCACACAGCAUUGGUAACAGCAAGGACAUUUAUGUUGGAACCAAAAAAGGAAGAUUGCCGCUGGAUUGGCGGAGGAAAAGGAGUCAAAGUAGAUAUUGGCAACGUAAGUAACAUGGAUGCCGGAUCCAACACAGGAGACAUCGGUGCAGGGAACAACUGCAAUGUAAUGGGAGGAGAUGGAGUCAAAAUAAGUAUUGGCAACAUGGGUAACAUGGUAGUUGGAGACAACACAGGGGGCAAUGGUGUGGGGAACAACUGCAAUGUGAACACAGGAGGAAAAGGAGCUGAAAUUAAUAUUGGCAACGCAACAAAUGCAGGGAUUGGGUUUAACGCAGGAGGCUUUGGUACAGGGAACAAUGUAAACAUUAACUAAUGAAAUCCCAGUCCAAAAGAUCAUGGACCGCCAACCAACCAAAAUAACACCCCAAAUGAAAACCAAAUCAAGAAUUCUUUAUAAACUGCUGUG